UAAGUGUAAAUUAUAUUAGCUGUGAAAAUGAAGUUUUUUGGUAUUGUAAUAUUUAGUUUUGUAGUUAUCUCGGUUUUAUUAGUUAGCCAAAUAGAGGCACAGUCUGGGAUAUUGCAGUUCGCCACUUGUAUGGGAAACGACGACUGCACCAGGAUGUGUAACCGUAGGUGCGACCUCGGCGCUACCACCGGCUCGUGUAUGGGAAGCGUCUGCUACUGUGCCUUACUGUCCAGCGCUUAGCCAUUAAAUACUUGAGAACACCUUAAAAUUAAUACACAGUUAAUAAAUAAAUAAACCUUUUUUGACUG